GUAAGGUUAGGUGUGUUGAGACUAGCUUGGUAAGGUUAGGUGUGUUGGUAAGGUUAGGUGUGUUGAGACUAGCUUGGUAAGGUUAGGUGUGUUGGUAAGUUUAGGUGUGUUGGUAAGGUUAGGUGUGUUGAGACUAGCUUGGUAAGCCUAGGUGUGUUGGUAAGGUUAGGUGUGUUGAGACUAGCUUGGUAAGCCUAGGUGUGUUGGUAAGGUUAGGUGUGUUGAGACUAGCUUGGUAAGCCUAGGUGUGUUGGUAAGGUUAGGUGUGUUGAGACUAGCUUGGUAAGCCUAGGUGUGUUGGUAAGGUUAGGUGUGUUGAGACUAGCUUGGUAAGCCUAGGUGUGACGGUAAGGUUAGGUGUGUUGGUAAGGUUAGGUGUGUUGGUAAGGUUAGGUGUGUUGAGACUAGCUUGGUAAGGUUAGGUGUGUUGGUAAGGUUAGGUGUGUUGAGACUAGCUUGGUAAGGUUAGGUGUG